rnacentral:rRNA from 1 species
AAAACUUUCAACAACGGAUCUCUUGGUUCUGGCAUCGAUGAAGAACGCAGCGAAAUGCGAUAAGUAAUGUGAAUUGCAGAAUUCAGUGAAUCAUCGAAUCUUUGAACGCACAUUGCGCCCCCUGGUAUUCCGGGGGGCAUGCCUGUUCGAGCGUCAUUUC